CCUACGGGUGGCAGCAGUGGGGAAUAUUGGACAAUGGGCGAAAGCCUGAUCCAGCCAUGCCGCGUGUGUGAAGAAGGCCUUCGGGUUGUAAAGCACUUUCAGUGGGGAAGAAAGCCUUGGGGCUAAUACCCUCGAGGAAGGACAUCACCCACAGAAGAAGCACCGGCUAACUCCGUGCCAGCAGCCGCGGUAAUACGGAGGGUGCGAGCGUUAAUCGGAAUUACUGGGCGUAAAGCGCGCGUAGGCGGUCUGAUAAGCCGGUUGUGAAAGCCCCGGGCUCAACCUGGGAUCGGCAUCCGGAACUGUCAGGCUAGAGUGCAGGAGAGGAAGGUAGAAUUCCCGGUGUAGCGGUGAAAUGCGUAGAGAUCGGGAGGAAUACCAGUGGCGAAGGCGGCCUUCUGGACUGACACUGACGCUGAGGUGCGAAAGCGUGGGUAGCAAACAGGAUUAGAUACCCGAGUAGUC
rnacentral:rRNA from 1 species